rnacentral:lncRNA from 1 species
UGGGGCAUUUUCAUUUUCCAUUUCCAUUUCCGAAAUGAUGGAAUUUUGGAAUUGAAAAUCCCCAGGCCCUCCAAGGAGCUCCCACAAACCAGUCCAAAAUAUCCAAACUUUUUUUCUUUUCUUUUCUUUUCUUUUAUGAUCUUCUCGUACUUCUCUCUCUCUCUCUCUCUCUCUCUCUCUCUCUCUCUCUCUCUCUCUCUCUCAUAAAUAACAUGCGAUGUGAUUGUUCAUGUGAAAUGAAAGGGAUGGGUCGAUAUAAUAUUGGAGCCAUAUGGAAGUAGUCACAGAGACAAAACCCAUCAUCUGUGAAAAUGAUUGGAACCAUCAACAAAGUGAUUUUAUGAAAUCUGCCCAUGAUGUGAAAAUGGUGGUUGGUUCAUCUUUCUGGGAUUUCUUAGCCAUGUUUGUAGUGAUUUUACUUUCUUCAAUAUAUAGUGUUGUGGUUUAUGAUGUUUACCCAAACGUUUUCUUGGUGUUUUGAUCAAUAGCAGAACAUUUUGAUUUCCAAUUAUUUACAUGUUUAUCUCUGAUGACCUCUGUGAUCUCUCCCUCUCUCUCUCUCCCGCUCUCUGAUCAUGCAUGGUUUGGUGAGUAAAUGACAAGGGAGGCUCCCUCUGGGUUGGGUUUGUGACAGAUCUAAUAUAUGCCAGCGCAACCUGUUUGGAAUAGAAGAGUCCAUUGAAUUUUCCUCCCUAAUUAGGAAGCUCAUAAUUAUAACGGCCUGGGUUAAUUUGGCAUGAAUGGGCGAUUGUCUUUGAUGGUGACCAUAUAUCAAAGCGUCUUUUGAUAUUAAUUUUACUUUCUAUUUAGUUGAAAAUGGUCAGCCCAGAAACAAACAGAUUACGAAAUAAGGGCCGCAGAAAAAAACCAGACUAUGAGCACAGCUAAUUGGCAUUUUCUCAUGUUUGAUGAGGGGCUCCAAUAUAUAAUGGAAGAUAUGCCGUUUCAUUAAUAGCUUAAAGUGCUAUUUAUUUUAUUUGAAAAUUAGAUAUAAUUGUAUUUAAUAAUUGGGAAUAUUGACCAAAUACUCACAAAGGGUUAAUACAAAGACGGAUGCACAUUAACCGCAAAGAGUUAAUCCAGAUAUAAGAGAGGAUGCACUGGCGAUAUCGCACUAUCUCCACUAAUAACCCUAAAAAGACCAAAUACACACGCUUGAGCAAAUC